AAGUAAAUUUGGAAUAAACCGAAAUGGAAUAUGAAGCUGAUUCUCAAGAGCCUCCAACUCCUGGUGUUCCUGCUGCUCCCGGUGCUUCUGCUGCUCCUAGUUCUUCUACUGCUCCUAGUGCUUCAUAUAUAGAAAGGAAUAAAA